GCGGAAACAACAACCCCAUCGCAGUACUACUACUGGUCGGCGUUGAUCCGCACGCAUGCGCCCGAUUCAUGCUUGAAUUCUCACCUCGGAGCAAAUUGUGUUCCCACUGUAUCACACACAGAAACAAUUUGCCAGUCUGGGAGCGUUGUCACUAUUCCACCGUUCCAAUCGCAAACUUUAACGCAGCUGACAAAGUUCUCGGUCGCAUCGGAAUCGGUUUCAGUCCUUAGCUCGACUCGGUUAGUGGUGAGAGUGUGGAGCCGUGGAAAAGUAUUGCUUAAUUUUUGGGGGAGCAACACCCCCAUAGAAUCGGAUCCGCCAUACUUUGGAUGUGCUGAAAAAUAGUUCAUAACCGUACGGUUCCACUUCACCGUGCGAUAGUAAUUUAACCUUCACCUCGCCACCACUGACUGCAACAUCAUCAUCCAAGUGCUAGCAAUUGCAAUUUAUACUAGCUGUGAGUUUCAUCCAAGAAAAUAAAGUAGAACGUUAAAUAACGUUUCGCUAGCUCACGACAGGAAAAAACCUCAUUUCCGUUCCAUUAGUCCGGGCACUGGUUCGACGAAAGCCAUGGAGUACCAACAGGAAAAAUCUGACGACAUUCGAGGACAGUAGGCUCGUCAGCGGAGAACCCGCAACUAUCAAACCCAGAGAAACAGAACGGAGAAAUCCGAUCUGUAGCCAACACAAAAAAAAAAAAACAUGUCGUCACCGCCGGAACAGGAAAGUAACAUACCUGUCGAUCCUAGAGUGCAGAUCGAACUCGAGAAGCUGAAUGAAGCCACGGACUACAUCAACAAGUAUGAAGUGGAACUGGAUGAAGCCCGAAAUGAGUUCCGAGAGAUACUCAAAGAGAGCAUGGAAAAGAUCAAAGCGGUCGCGAAGAAACUGGGCAACUCGAUCGAAACCGCCAAACCGUACUAUGAAGCCAGGCUGUACGCUGCACAGUUGACCAAGGAAACGCAACAAUCCGUGCUGAACUUCGACAAGGCGAAAUCGGUGCAUGCGGCGGCCAAGGAAAUGGUAUUCCUAGCCGAACAAGGUCUCGGCGAGAAGUCAACGCUGGAUACGGCCUGCCAGGAGAUGCUCAGUCAUGCGACCACCCGCGUCAACGAGUCCCAGAAUGAGUGCACGGAGAUGCGGAAUGUGCUGCGGAUCAGUGAACUGAAGCUGGAAGUUGCGAACAACCGAGUUACUAAACUGCACUCGCAGUUCAAGGGAGCGAUCCGGGCGUCUAGUAUGGCUGUUCGCAGAAACCUGUUACUGAUGAAUUUGCUAGUUUAUCAAAAUGAGUUAUUGUUUUUACCAUACUACGAGUUGCGAGCUAACUACAAUGCUCUGCUGCUAGAGCACAAACAGAAGGUGCUGGACCUGGAGGCCAAGGUUUCGGAAGCCAAAAUGACCUACAAUGAGGCACUAACCAAUCUGGAGAGGAUUUCGGAGGAAAUCCAUCAACAGCGCAAGAUUCGUACCAACAGCAUCGACGAGGACGCUUCCUCCUCUUCGUCGUCGACCAAUCAGCUACGGAGCACGACCACGUUGCCGGGACAGAUGCAGCUGUACAGCAAAUCUCCACCUGCUGCGAGGAUCGAGUGCAAUGAUGAAUAUCUGGAGUUUCCUGCCAAGCUGGGCCUGAAAUCUAGUCCACUCAAGCAAAAGUAUCUGGACAAACUGGACUGUCCUCAUUUGUUGCGGGAUUUCGUCCGGAAGACCAGUCCCAGUGCGGAAAGUGACUCCGAUAACAACUAUCUUUUCUCACCGAAUCGGACGAUCGAUGACAUCACCAACAUGUCCUCGGAAGACAUUGAACAAUGGACGGAGAUUCGAUUGUCGCACUCGAACAGCACAAGUUCGGAGUAUUCGCAGCGAAACUCGCCACUGGAUGAUGAUGGUGGCAAUAUACUACCGGAGGUGGUUUCCGAUUCAACCGAAACGGACACCGACGACACUAACUCGGGACCAAGAGUCAAAGCACGCAUCAUCAAGAUGGAAAUCUACGAUGACAGCGCCAAUCAAAACGCCUCCGCCAAGCGGAACGAAGGCAUCGCUGGAUGGAUCACUGGUCGUACGAUCGGUCGGUCGGCAUCCAUUUCGAUGGGAGGAUGUUCGCCGGUAACGAGAGAUUCCAGUUGCGGUGCAACAGAGGGAACCAGUUCCGGUAGACGCCAGAGUCUGGACAUCAUCAUCGAUACCGGUGAUCGGGUGAAGGAUGCUUUUACCCAAGGCAUUCAACGGAUCGGACGAACGCUGGAACGACGGAACAGUGAAUCGGAACUCGGCCGGGAUGGUGAUUCCACCGGUGGCAAUGGGUUUCCUGGCAGUGGCGGAGGGAGUAAUGGUACGGGGAGCAAUUCUGGAACGGGGAGUGAUUUUUUUCUCUUCCAACGCUCGUCGGAUUCUGCGCGGGAUGGCCUCUCGGAUGAACAGGUGGAGAACCUUCUUCUAGGCCAGGACUGUACGGACCUAUUUCAGAAUGUCGUCAACUUGUCGAAGUAGGUCAUAGGCGCGGUCACCACGAAUUCUGUCGAGCGGCGGUAUCUGGUUUUCUGUGAUUUUAAUGAGAGCGGGGCCAUCAAGGAAGAGGCAUGGCUGGCAAUCAGCUAGAAACUAUACACUUAUUAAGCAAUUAUUCACGGUAGAAAAGUAGUGUUCCAAAAAUUUGUAGACUUAGAAACCAUACCCAAUGCGGACAAUGUUUUUUGGAUGACGGAUUAUAGGGGGAGUAUAAACAUUGAGAGAACGAUCGAUGGGGUGAUGACAUCGCACCUAGCCAAUGGGUUCAAUCGGUUUUCCCUACGCAAUUCUAGUGCCAUUUGUGAUGACUUAAUAAUCCAAAACAAACCAUAUCAACAUACUCGAAAGGAGUAUGAUAGAUUUUCAAAAAAAAAGAACGGUGAAACGUAUUUUUAAUGUAACUUCUGGGAAGUUGGAACCAAUAGAUGAACUUCAGAUGUACUAACAAUUGGAAAGCAGUUUUAGCCUACUAUUAGGUGAUUUUUUAAGAGCUUGAGAACUUUUUUAAACAAUGAAACGCAUAAAAUUUGCAAAAUCUCAUCGGUUCUUUAUUUUAAACGUUAGAUUGGUACAUGACAUUUACUUUUUGAAGAUAAUUUCAUUUAAAUGUUGACCGCGGCUGCGUCUUAGGUGGUCCAUUCGGAAAGUCCAAUUUUGGGCAACUUUUUCGAGCAUUUCGGCCGGAAUAGCCCGAAUUUCUUCGGAAAUGUUGUCUUCCAAAGCUGGAAUAGUUACUGGCUUAUUUCUGUAGACUUUAGACUUGACGUAGCCCCACAAAAAAUAGUCUAAAGGCGUCAAAUCGCAUGAUCUUGGUGGCCAACUUACCGGUCCAUUUCUUGAGAUGAAUUGUUCUCCGAAGUUUUCCCUCAAAAUGGC